rnacentral:rRNA from 1 species
GACGAACGCUGGCGGCGUGCUUAACACAUGCAAGUCGAACGGAAAGGCCCUGCUUUUGUGGGGUGCUCGAGUGGCGAACGGGUGAGUAACACGUGAGUAACCUGCCCUUGACUUUGGGAUAACUUCAGGAAACUGGGGCUAAUACCGGAUAGGAGCUCCUGCUGCAUGGUGGGGGUUGGAAAGUUUCGGCGGUUGGGGAUGGACUCGCGGCUUAUCAGCUUGUUGGUGGGGUAGUGGCUUACCAAGGCUUUGACGGGUAGCCGGCCUGAGAGGGUGACCGGCCACAUUGGGACUGAGAUACGGCCCAGACUCCUACGGGAGGCAACAGUGGGGAAUAUUGCACAAUGGGCGGAAGCCGGAUGCAGCAACGCCGCGUGCGGGAUGACGGCCUUCGGGUUGUAACCGCUUUCGCCUGUGACGAAGCGUGAGUGACGGUAAUGGGUAAAGAAGCACCGGCUAACUACGUG